rnacentral:sRNA from 1 species
AUUUUGCGUUAAGGAUUGAAGUGAAAAGCCCGCAGUUCUGAAAUUCAGGACGAGGACUUAUAGCGUAAAGCCUGACGGCCA